GCAGUGGUGGUUCAGUGGUAGAAUUCUCGCCUUCCAUGUCAGAAGCUUGGGUUCGAUUUCUAGCCAAUACA
rnacentral:tRNA from 1 species